rnacentral:sRNA from 1 species
UUGGCUUGUGGCGGGGAGGCUGUAAACUCCGUAGAUGAUUUAACUCCUGAUUGCCUUGGUUGGGCUGGACUUGUAUACGAGCAUGUCCUUGGUGAAGAGAAGUAUACAUUUGUUGAAAAUGUGAAGAAUCCCCACUCUUGCACAAUCUUAAUCAAAGGGCCUAAUGACCAUACAAUUGCUCAGAUUAAGGAUGCUGUUCGUGAUGGCCUGAGGGCAGUGAAAAACACAGUUGAAGAUGAAGCUGUCAUCUUAGGUGCUGGAGCUUUUGAAGUUGCAGCCAGACAAUAUUUAGUGAAUGAAAGAAAACUGUUAAAGGGCGUGCUCAACUCGGUGUCGAAGCUUUUGCUGAUGCUCUUCUUGUGGUGCCCAAAACACUUGCUGAGAAUUCUGGCCUCGAUACACAAGAUGUGAUAAUUGCUCUUACGGGAGAGCAUGAUCAGGGAAAUGUCGUGGGACUAAAUCACAACACUGGAGAACCGCUUGAUCCACAGAUGGAGGGUAUCUUCGACAACUACUCUGUGAAGCGACAGAUUAUAAACUCAGGGCCUGUAAUUGCAUCUCAACUGUUGUUGGUCGAUGAAGUAAUUCGUGCUGGGCGUAACAUGCGGAAGCCAACCUAACCUUCAGCGUAUGUUUUUCUCCGCGUGAAGCUUCCCGUCUUGUCUUCAGUGAAUGAUUUGGUUGAAACCACCUUAAUGUAACCGACUGAGGGCAGUUGUGUCGUUGAGGAUUGUUAGAGGGAAUCUGAAUUUGCAUCUGCUCUGGGUUUUUUCUUAUGAGGAAUUUCUGUAAUAUAAACAUCUAGUGUGGCUAAAACUUUUCCAGGUUCGCAUUUUCCACUCGUUUUCGAGGUUGAAUCGGUUCAACUGGGUGGAAAAGAAUUAUGAUUCUGUUGGCCUCAGUUCUUGAAUUUUCAACAAUUAAUAGAAUUUUCGAGUUUUUACC